CUAUGGAGGAGGCAGCAGAGACUCUGCUCUCCUCGUUUGGAUUAAUUCUGAUAUAAUAACUGUUGGUUUAUUUAUCGGUGCAGCAGCAGAACAUUUUCCACAGACAGUUUUCCUGCCCGUUGGCUUGUUUUAACCAGUUUUCUACCUUCAGCUGAUUCUACCAGCAGACACUGAAAGGACUCUGAUAGUUCGGUCCCUCUCUAUCUCCCCACACAUCCACCAACCACUGGAACACAUCUCCAAAGUUCUGCUGGACCAGCUCAGCUUCCCCUCAGAAGAAGUGCCGCCACCUGCCAGAUGAAGGAGCCUUUUGAGAGGCAGCUGGCAUCGUGAUUGGACUGUACUUUGGUCUGUUCCAAUCCAGCUUCAGCUCCAGAGACGGCAGGUGGGACGAGUCAACGGAGGCCUGGUGGACGAAGACAUGCAGCUGAGUACAAUCCAGAAAACAACAGAGGAGGAGUGCAGCGGCCCAGAGCCAGAACAACCAGAGUAGCAUCGUAUGUCUCUUAGAAAACAUCAUAGUAGAGCCUUUGGUAUGAAAAAACACCAUCAUAUACAUCGUAUAUUGUACAAAUAACAAGUCAAAGGAAAGAGACAUACAUUGUAGAAUUGUAGUAAUUGUGGGCUGACUGAUUUACUGAUUAUCAG
ensembl:lncRNA